GAGGAGAUAGGGAUUGGGUGUGUGUUUCUGUGUGUGAAAAUGGCGGAGAAAGAAAGACGCAAAUUCAGGGCUUUUGGAUUUGUACAUAUGCCAAUUGAAGAUUCAGAUUUUUGGGGUUUUAACUGUAUUCAGAUGGGGGAUCAGCUGUGCGUUUCAGCCUCUCAAAAGUACAGCAAAAGGAAGGCGUAAAUUAAUGGGCUUUGACUUGUUAAAAUGUUAGUUGAACAUUCAGGUCCAAAAUUUGGAAAUUUUCUUCUGUCCUUUCCAAGAACUACUCCAGAGUAUAGCAGCACGACUCAAUAUCGUAUCCAGC